rnacentral:lncRNA from 1 species
GCCUCCCGUGAAAGCCUUAAUCAGAUCGUGUGCUUCUUCCAAUGGCUCUGUCUCAGUGUGAACACUAAAAUCCUUACAUCACCUACAGGACUCAGAAGACUUUACUCUUCGAGUAGAACUCUAACCUACUUUGUCCUACCUUCCUUCCACUUACAACAGACUGGCCUCUGCUGUUCUCCCAGCCUGCAGGCAGGCUCUGGUGCUGUCUGCUUUCUACUCCCUCUACCUAGAGUACUUUUCCCUGAGACAGCUCUUUCUUUCACCUUGUCACCCCCUUUACAUCUUCGAAUGAGCCUUCUCACUGAGACCGCCUCUGACGCCUCUGAUGCUGUGCUAGAACAGGAGCGAUUGUCUCCCUUGUACUUUCCUACCCCCUGAUAAUUGUUCUCAUGACGUUUGUCCAAUCAGUUUCUUGGGGGGUUGGCGUACGGUCUCCCCACCAGAAUAUAAGUUCUGCAAGGGCUUGGAUUUGGGUUUGGAGGAGUGGUUGAUUGGUUGGUUAGUUGGGAUUUUGUUUUUUGGUUUUUUGGUUUUUUUUUUUUGGUUUGGUUUUUGUUUUGUGUUUUUGAGAUAAGGUCUCUUGUGUCCCAACUAGAUUUGUGGUUGAGAAUGGAUUUGAACUCCUGAUUCCUCUGCUUUCUUCUCUCAGGUACUAGAAUCACAGGUGUGAGUCUGUGCCCUACUGGCAUGUUUUUUUUUUUUUUUUUUUUGGGGGGGUGUAUUUUAGCAAUGUUUAGCAAUAUGUUACUAUGUAACAUAUGUUACAUAGUAAACAGUCAAUUCAUGAAAGCAUAGAUUAAUUGCUCAUUGGUUUGUUUUUUGUUUGUUUUUUUUUUUUUUUGACUGACAUGAACCACCAGCUCCACCAGAGGGAGCCCACAAACAAUGUGAUGUCCCCAGACACUCUUCCCAAAGUACACACUGGACAUACACAUCAAUCCUAUGCUUAUUAGCAAUUACAAAACAACGCUCUAGGGCCGACAGGAUGCCUCAGCAGGUAAAGAUACUUGCCUCCAUACUCGGUGGCCUGGUUUCAAUCCCUAAGACCCACAUGGCGGGAGUAAAUAACCAGUUUCUGCAAGCUGUUCUCCCUAUCCCCUCUCCCCCAUACAAGCUGUACUUAGACUCAUACACAUAUACAUGGGUAAAUCGAUAAUGUAAAAAAAAGUCUGUUUUUGUAGUAUAUAUAUAGACAUAUGUACAUAUAUGUAUACAGUUUUACUAUGUAGCCCUGGCUGUCCUGGAACUCUCUAUGUAGACCAGGCUGGCUUCAAACUCACAAAGAUCUGCCUGCCUCUGCCUCUCUACUGCUAAGAUAAAAGACAUUCCCCACCACUCCCAGUCUUUGGCAUCUUUUAAGGAAAGAAAUUCUUGCUCCUUACUGGUCUCAUUUGACCAGUCUUUCCCAACUCUCUCUCAGUUUGCAUGCCUAGCCUCCUCUCACAUAGUGACCUCUAGCUGGAGCCAUCUUGCUUUGUAUUUGUUUGUGUGUUUUGAGGUCAUGGUAGCACAAGCCUGUAAUUCCAGUACUGCAGAGGCAGAGACAGGAGGACUGUUCCAAGUUGGAGGUCAGCCCAGUCUCAGUACUGAGACCUUGUCUCAAAAACAAACGUAUAAAAACCCAAAAACUAUAGGGCUUGACGUAGAGUCUUACAAGUACACACAGAAACUACAACUGAGUUCACUCUAUAGAUGAGGUAUUGUAUCAGGGAAGAAUUAAGAGACUUGCUUGAGGUCACAUGACUAGCAAACAACAAAACUGGGGAUGGUGAUGCAUGCCUGUAAUCCCAGCACUCAGGAGGUUGGGGCAGGAGGGUGGUGAGUUCAAAGCCAACCUGGACUACACAGCCAGGCCCUGCUUCAGCAACCCACAGAGCAGCAGUUGCCAGUGGAGCCUCUACCAUGCAACCCAUCCAAAGUGUUGCUUUUCCCUUUUCCACGUUUUUAGUCUUUUUCUUUCUUUUAGAUAAUUGCCUGUGUUCCCUGAUGCUCUGUGCUUUCCUAGUCUUCUUGCUAAGCAACCCUCCCAGGGCCCAGCUCUCUGUCAUGGCUGACCUCUGCACCUAACUCAAAAGGCACCUUUCUCUGCUCUGUCUCCCUCCUCCUUGGGGCUGCCAAGACUUACAGCUUGCCUGUCCUGUUGUGUUUCUCUUAAGAUCCAAAAAAAAAAAUUAUUAAAAAAUU